rnacentral:rRNA from 1 species
GUGGGGAAUAUUGGGCAAUGGAGGAAACUCUGACCCAGCGACGCCGCGUGCGGGAUGAAGGCCUUCGGGUUGUAAACCGCUUUCAGUAGGGAAGAAGCGAAAGUGACGGUACCUACAAAAGAAGCACCGGCUAACUAUGUGCCAGCAGCCGCGGUAAUACAUAGGGUGCAAGCGUUGUCCGGAAUUAUUGGGCGUAAAGAGCUCGUAGGUCGUUUGUUACGUCGGAUGUGAAAACCUGAGGCUCAACCUCAGGCCUGCAUUCGAUACGGGCAAACUAGAGUUUGGUAGGGGAGACUGGAAUUCCUGGUGUAGCGGUGGAAUGCGCAGAUAUCAGGAGGAACACCAAUGGCGAAGGCAGGUCUCUGGGCCAAUACUGACACUGAGGAGCGAAAGUCUGGGGAGCGAACAGGAUUAG